rnacentral:sRNA from 1 species
GUAAAGAACAAGUGGCACGUUCCAGUGACUAUCUCGAUGGGCAGUUGACCUUUCGCGAGCGUCUGCUGGUGCGUCAUCACUUGAUGUUCUGCCCGAACUGCCGCCGGUUUAUCCGCCAGAUGCGCCUGAUGCAGGCGACGCUGAAGAUAAUGCCGGAUGAGCCGGUAGAGGGUGUGGAGGCCUUGGCCCAGCGUCUGGCUGACGAGCGGCUCAAGGAUCACAAAGGCGGGGAAUAAACAGGCUCGCGU